rnacentral:sRNA from 1 species
CCUAACUCGUUUUAAUGUAUCACACAGCUCGACAUAGUAAUCAGGGUGCUCUCAAAAAAUAGGGUUGAUUAUUAGAAGCUGUGGAAG